rnacentral:rRNA from 1 species
AUUGAACGCUGGCGGAAUGCUUUACACAUGCAAGUCGAACGGCAGCACGGACUUCGGUCUGGUGGCGAGUGGCGAACGGGUGAGUAAUGUAUCGGAACGUGCCCAGUCGUGGGGGAUAACGUAGUGAAAAUUACGCUAAUACCGCAUACGAUCUAUGGUUGAAAGCGGGGGAUCGCAAGACCUCGCGCGAUUGGAGCGGCCGAUAUCAGAUUAGGUAGUUGGUGGGGUAAAGGCCCACCAAGCCAACGAUCUGUAGCUGGUCUGAGAGGACGACCAGCCACACGGUAACUGAGACACGGUCCAGACUCCUACGGGAGGCAGCAGUUGGGAAUUUUGGACAAGGGGCGAAAGCCUGAUCCAGCCAUUCCGCGUGCAGGAUGAAGGCCCUCGGGUUGUAAACUGCUUUUGUACAGAACGAAAAGGUUUCUACUAAUACUAGGAGCUCAUGACGGUACUGUAAGAAUAAGCACCGGCUAACUACGUGCCAGCAGCCGCCGCGG